UAGCGUUGCUCGGAAUCACUGGGCGUAAAGCGCACGUAGGCGGAUUGCUAAGUCAGGGGUGAAAUCCCGGAGCUCAACUCCGGAACUGCCUUUGAUACUGGAAAGCUUGAGUUCGGGAGAGGUGAGUGGAACUGCGAGUGUAGAGGUGAAAUUCGUAGAUAUUCGCAAGAACACCAGUGGCGAAGGCGGCUCACUGGCCCGAUACUGACGCUGAGAUGCGAAAGCGUGGGGAGCAAACAGG
rnacentral:rRNA from 1 species